UUUGGUUUGUAGGCCACGGACAAUCAAGUAUUUGCUCGAUCGUAAUAAGAAUGGCAAAGUCAUAUUUGUUGUUGUUUGUGGUUUUCGUCUUACACCACGUUCGAGGCCAACAUGAUGAUUGUGCUGAUUCAUUUCGGUGUGGCGGCCACGGCCCAGCCAUCCGAUUUCCUUUCCGACUCAAAGACCACCACCCGGACAAUUGUGGUUUACCUGGGUUUCAUGUGUCCUGCUCCGCUACGGACGAUACAGUGCUCGAGCUGCCAAGUUCAGUCAAGCUUUUUGUCAAAAAGAUUGACUACAAAUCUCAGGAACUUCAAGUAUAUCAUCCUGAUCAUUGCUUUCCAAGAGUGAUCCGGCAACUCGAUUUAUCUUCCUCACCUUUCCAAUUCCCAAGAUAUCGAUACGGCCUUUCUGACUUUGCAUUUUUCAACUGUUCCCAUGCUAUAAGAGAAGGACACAGUGAUGGGAGGGCGAUUUCUUGUCUUAAUGACACUACCUAUAGCCACCAAGUUUAUGUCUUGUUUAAUAAUGACGACAUCAACGAGUUGCCCAUAGUACCUUGUAGAAAGAUGUAUAGUGUUAGAUCAAUUCCAUAUGGUAUUGUAUCUAAUUUUGUUGAUAUCCUUUAUUUGAAUUGGUCCAGACCAGCUUGCAGAAAAUGUGAACUGAAAGGCAUGAAUUGUGGGUUGAUGAAUAUUAAUAGCAGUAGUACCGAGUCAGAAAUUUAGUGCUUCCCCAAACACAACAAAGGUGCAUCAACAAAAUUAGUGACCAUUGGUGCCAUUUUAGGUCCAACUCUUUUAGUACUGCUUGCCUUUGCACUUUAUCGCGUCUAUAGUAAUGACAAAGCAGAAAAAGAAUAUCGAAAGAAGAUUGAAAGUUUCUUGGACGAUUACAGAAGCUACAAGCCCACAAGAUACUUGUACGCUGACCUUAAAAGGAUUACAAAUCAGUUUACCGAGAAAUUGGGCGAAGGAGCCUACGGAACAGUGUUCAGAGGAAAAAUUUCAAAUGAAAUCCACGUUGCUGUGAAGAUCUUGAAUAGUUCCCAGGGAAACGGAGAAGAAUUCAUAAAUGAAGUUGGAAUAAUGGGUAGAAUCCAUCAUGUCAAUGUGGUUCGCUUGGUUGGAUUUUGUGCUGAUGGAUUUAGACGGGCACUAGUUUAUGAGUUCUUUUCAAAUUAUUCAUUAGAAAAGUUCAUAUUUUCAGAGAAUUCGAAGAGUCAUUUUCUUGGUUGGGAGAGACUACAUGAUAUUUCUCUAGGUGUGGCAAAAGGAAUCGAAUAUCUUCACUAAGGAUGUGAUCAAAGAAUCCUCCAUUUUGAUAUCAAACCUCAUAAUGUUUUACUAGACCAAAACUUUAUUCCAAAAAUUUCUGAUUUUGGUCUUGCAAAGUUGUGUUCCAAGGAUCAAAGUGCAGUAUCUAUGACCACAGCCAGGGGGACCGUGGGUUACAUUGCACCUGAAGUGUUUUCUAGAAACUUUGGGACUGUGUCUUAUAAAGCAGAUGUUUAUAGUUUUGGAAUGUUGUUGCUUGAAAUUGUUGGAGGGAGGAGAAGUGUUGACAUUACGUCGGAAAAAACUAGCCAAGUUUACUUUCCAGAAUGGAUCUACAAUCUCUUGGAACAAAAAGAAGAGUUACGAGUUUUUAUCGAGGAUGAUGGAGAUAUGAAAAUUGCAAAAAAACUUGCAAUAGUGGGACUUCGGUGCAUCCAGUGGCACCCAAUGGAUCGUCCUUCUAUGAAACUUGUGGUUCAAAUGUUAGUAGAAGAAGAUAAAUUAAUCAUGCCUCCUAAUCCUUUUGCCUCCCUAUGCCCUACGAGGAUCCAUGCAAAGAAGCCUAUGAUGCAUUUAGGCCAAGAAUUGGACGUUAUCCUAGAAUUAGAUUAAGUGUUAGGAGUUUGUUUUAAAGAUAUUGAAAUAAACAUGUUGUAGUUAAACAUUAUUACUUUUGAUGUUGGAAUGAUCAUAAAGGAAUUCAAGGUUGCCUCUUAUAUAUGAACUUGAUAUGA